UAUCUUUGCCCCCGUAUAUAAAAACCAUACAUAACAAUCAUUAAAACAAUAUUGGCAUG
ncrna:unclassified sequences S15-Flavobacteria ribosomal protein leader